rnacentral:rRNA from 1 species
AUUGAACGCUGGCGGCAGGCCUAACACAUGCAAGUCGGGCGGUAACAGGAAUCAGCUUGCUGAUUCGCUGACGAGCGGCGGACGGGUGAGUAAUGUCUGGGAAACUGCCUGAUGGAGGGGGAUAACUACUGGAAACGGUAGCUAAUACCGCAUAACGUCUACGGACCAAAGUGGGGGACCUUCGGGCCUCAUGCCAUCAGAUGUGCCCAGAUGGGAUUAGCUAGUAGGUGGGGUAACGGCUCACCUAGGCGACGAUCCCUAGCUGGUCUGAGAGGAUGACCAGCCACACUGGAACUGAGACACGGUCCAGACUCCUACGGGAGGCAGCAGUGGGGAAUAUUGCACAAUGGGCGCAAGCCUGAUGCAGCCAUGCCGCGUGUAUGAAGAAGGCCUUCGGGUUGUAAAGUACUUUCAGCGGGGAGGAAGGUGUUGUGGUUAAUAACCGCAGCAAUUGACGUUACCCGCAGAAGAAGCACCGGCUAACUCCGUGCCAGCCGCCGCGGUAA